ACACAUGCAAGUCGAACGAACUCUUCGGAGUUAGUGGCGGACGGGUGAGUAACACGUGGGAACGUGCCUUUAGGUUCGGAAUAACUCAGGGAAACUUGUGCUAAUACCGAAUGUGCCCUUCGGGGGAAAGAUUUAUCGCCUUUAGAGCGGCCCGCGUCUGAUUAGCUAGUUGGUGAGGUAAAGGCUCACCAAGGCGACGAUCAGUAGCUGGUCUGAGAGGAUGAUCAGCCACAUUGGGACUGAGACACGGCCCAAACUCCUACGGGAGGCAGCAGUGGGGAAUCUUGCGCAAUGGGCGAAAGCCUGACGCAGCCAUGCCGCGUGAAUGAUGAAGGUCUUAGGAUUGUAAAAUUCUUUCACCGGGGACGAUAAUGACGGUACCCGGAGAAGAAGCCCCGGCUAACUUCGUGCCAGCAGCCGCGGUAAUACGAAGGGGGCUAGCGUUGCUCGGAAUUACUGGGCGUAAAGGGAGCGUAGGCGGACAUUUAAGUCAGGGGUGAAAUCCCGGGGCUCAACCUCGGAAUUGCCUUUGAUACUGGGUGUCUUGAGUAUGAGAGAGGUGUGUGGAACUCCGAGUGUAGAGGUGAAAUUCGUAGAUAUUCGGAAGAACACCAGUGGCGAAGGCGACACACUGGCUCAUUACUGACGCUGAGGCUCGAAAGCGUGGGGAGCAAACAGGAUUAGAUACCCUGGUAGUCCACCCGUAAACGAUGAUUGCUA
rnacentral:rRNA from 1 species